AACCGGUGAUGAAAAGAUUCUGCCAAAUGAGACUGCUGAUUAUAAACCUUUACCGUUCCAUAAUUUCUGAGGUU